GGCAAACCCUGAGAAGAUCUGAAUGAAGGAAGUUGAUUUGAGAGUGUUCUCUGGACCAACAUCUGUUGGGAGGUGCCAUUGUCAUCAUCAUCAACAUCCUUCAAUUUACAAAGGAGUGCUCUGUGACCUGGAGGGGCUGAGUAACUUACCCAAGACUACACAGCCAGUGAGAAGCAAAGCGAAGAUUUGAAACCUGGGCAACUGGGCUCCGGAGAAGAACCCUACUGCCAGGUUCUGGGAGUUACUUUAUAGGUAACAGAAGUACAGAGUUUGGAGCCAUCAUAAGGAAUGAAAUAUUGGCAUUUGCAGCAACCUGGAUGGAGUUGGAGACCAUUGUUCAGAAACCAAAUAUCAUAUGUUCUCACUUAUAAGUGGGAGUUAAGCUAUGAGGAUGCAAAGGUGUAAGAAUGAUAUAAUAGACUUUGGGGACUCAGGGGAAGGGAGGGAAAGGGGUGAAGAAUAAAAGACUGACUACACAGUGGGUACAGUGUACACUGCUCUGGUGAUGGGUGCAUCAAAAUCUCAGAAGUCACCACCAAAGAACUUAUCCAUGUAACCCAAAACCACCUGUUCCCCCAAAACUACUGAAAUAAAAUAAAAUUGAAAA
rnacentral:lncRNA from 1 species